CCUACGGGUGGCAGCAGUCGAGAAUCAUUCACAAUGGGGGAAACCCUGAUGGUGCGACGCCGCGUGGGGGAAUGAAGGUCUUCGGAUUGUAAACCCCUGUCAUGUGGGAGCAAAUUAAAAAGAUAGUACCACAAGAGGAAGAGACGGCUAACUCUGUGCCAGCAGCCGCGGUAAUACAGAGGUCUCAAGCGUUGUUCGGAAUCACUGGGCGUAAAGCGUGCGUAGGCUGUUUCGUAAGUCGUGUGUGAAAGGCGGGGGCUCAACCCGCGGACGGCACAUGAUACUGCGAGACUAGAGUACUGGUGGGGUAAGCGGAAUUCGUGGUGUAGCGGUGAAAUGCGUAGAUAUCGAGAGGAACACUCGUGGCGAAGGCAGGUUCCUGGACAGUAACUGACGCUGAGGCACGAAGGUGAGGGGAUCGAAAGGGAUUAGAUACCCGAGUAGUC
rnacentral:rRNA from 1 species